UCGUGUCGUGCGUGUGACAGACGAAGCGAAAUUUUGAAAAAAAUCUCACAAUUUGAAGAAGAGAGAAGAAGAAAGCUUCUUCUAUGCUCUUCUUCGGGACUAUUCAUGGCGUAAAGGCGCCAAUUUAGGUUUUGAUUCUCCCGUUCCGCGGCUACUGAACUCAAUUGAGAUUCCAAAGUCGAUUCUUCAAGGUACUCUAAAUCAUUUUUCCCUGAGGAUUUUGGCACUGCAGAGGGGAGAAAGGCCACGAGAUAGAAGAUAUCUUCAUUUGGAAUUAUCAUAGAUGUAUGUUUGUUCCACCUGCAACAAAAGAAAAGUUGGAUAUGCAAAUUUAGAUAUACUGCUCUUGGGAAUCAGGAGAUUCAGCCAGGGAUGUGGAACCUCCCAUAAACCCUUUGCUCUCAGUUUUCUCUCCGCAAUAUGCACUCUAUCCAGAAACUCAAUAUAUGGCACUUCAGAUGAAAACAAAGUGGAUGUGCUGGUUCAAGAGAUAUCCGUGCCCGGGUGAUUAUGCCAAACUGUCCAAGCCCGCCAAGAACACUGUAGAAAAGUUCAGAAUUCCGCUUCUCGGAACAGGUUAAUAUUUCACAUCCCGGGUACAUACAUUCUCUCCCUGCCAAGAUUUCCUACAUAAAAGGUAAAAACUCUUGUUUUACUGCAUACUUUUUUCUUCUUAUUAUAAAUUUAUCUCUUGGCUACGCUCACUGUCAGAGCAUGUACUCUAGGGCCCCUACUUGGGUCUCAUUGUACAUGAGCUCAGUUUGAGAGAAGACAAUCUUGCCCACCAUCCUCUACACCCAAGUCUGGUAACCUAAUUGGAUCAUGCUUAUUGGGACCAUUUUGCAUCAUUUGAUCCUGUCAGUUUAUGCAGUAUUUAAAUUUGACUAUAAAUCUUGGAAGUAAGUUUACCCAUUAGGACCAAACAUCAACACUGGCUACUCUUCCUGGCAGGAUGGAUACAGAACUGUCCUAAACACGUGUUGCAACCAAGCUUCCUCUUCCAUAUUGUUUAGAGAAAAAAUAAUCUUGUUGCGUAUACAUGUUUUCGGACUCCCUGGUGCUGUUCAUGUGUGUCCUCGCUUGCAGUAAAUAGCUUAAGAAACGAAAAAAAAAGUACCACAGCUGCAUUUUGAAGUGCUUUGUGUUAUCUCAUUACAAAAGUCUUUUAACUGUCAGCAUGACAUAUUGAACAGGGAACAGAAAAGAUUGUAUGCUAUAUAUAUACUUAUUGGUGGUCCUGAAAGACCAAGUAAGUAAGGCCUUGUCAUGAUAUUUUUUUCACGAGUAAUUAGAUCUUAGUUGGAGGUGAUAAAGAAAGGAAAAUUCAAAAAGAUAAAUCAAUGGCGCUGUGUGCUACUUGCAAUAAAUAAACAUAGAAGAUAUGAUUUACGUAUAGUGUUAACUUGUGAGUAUGUGUUGUGUCUUUUUGUUGUGAGAUUGAAAGAUGUAGGGGCCUUAGCUACAUUAGUCGGGAAAAAUGGAAGCAAAGGAUGGAGAAGAUGGCAAUGAGGAGUGACAAGUUUGAACAAAGGAGGCAUUGCGAAUAAAUUAAAAUCAACGCUCACAAUACCUUGGUCGCUGUAGUGGACAAAUACACACAAGACACUUUUUUCUACCCUUGUAAAUCGCCGUGAAGAUUGCAAUAAGAAGAUAGUUGGGCAUAUUAAGACUGUUUAGGUGGCAUCAUGAUGAGUACAAAUAUGAAUAAUAUUAAACCACCACCAUUGCCGCAAAAAUAAGGUUACAAAUCCACAAACGUAUUAAUGUAAUCAUUACUCUAUAUAUGAUACAUGUAUCUAAAUUUUCCAUUAUAUUUCUUUAACCGGAUUUGAAGUCGAGAUGCCUAGGAUCCAUUACCAAUACACCAUUGUAAAUAAUUAGUGAUAUCUCAAUUUCAAGUUAUAUUUAGAAAGAAAAAAAGAGAGAGAGAGAGAAAUGGUCCCAAGAUAGAACGUCGAGGUGGAG